rnacentral:rRNA from 1 species
GUGUCAGCCGCCGCGGUAAUACAGAGGUCCCAAGCGUUGUUCGGAUUCACUGGGCGUAAAGGGUGCGUAGGUGGUGAGGAUAGUUUGGUGUGAAAUCUCCGGGCUUAACCCGGAAACUGCACUAAAUACUUCCUUGCUCGAGGACUGGAGGGGAGACUGGAAUUCUCGGCGUAGCGGUGAAAUGCGUAGAUAUCGAGAGGAACACCGGUGGCGAAGGCGAGUCUCUGGACAGUCCCUGACACUGAGGCACGAAAGCUAGGGGAGCAAACAGGAUUAGAUACCCUGGUAGUCCUAGCUGUAAACGGUGCACAUUUGCCGUGAGCGGAAUCGACCCCGUUCGUGGCGAAGCUAACGCGUUAAAUGUGCCGCCUGGGGAGUACGGUCGCAAGAUUAAA